UGGGACCUACGGGGCGCAGCAGUGGGGAAUAUUGCACAAUGGGGGGAACCCUGAUGCAGCAAUGCCGCGUGAAGGAUGAAGGUUUUCGGAUUGGAAACUUCUUUUGUACGGGACGAAGAAAGUGACGGUACCGUAAGAAUAAGCCACGGCUAACUACGUGCCAGCAGCCGCGGUAAUACGUGGGUGGCAAGCGUUAUCCGGAUUUACUGGGUGUAAAGGGCGAGUAGGCGGGAUUGCAAGGCAGAUGGGAAAACACUGGGCUCAAC
rnacentral:rRNA from 1 species